UAGUCCACGCCGUAAACGAUGGACACUAGUUGUUGGGAUUUAUCUCAGUGACUAAGCGAAAGUUUUAAGUAAUCCACCUGGGGAGUGCGAUCGCAAGAUUGAAACUCAAAGGAAUUGACGGGGGCCCGCACAAGCGGAGGAACAUGUGGUUUAAUUCGAUGAUACGCGAGGAACCUUACCUGGACUUAAAUGUAGAUUGCAUAGCUAGAGAUAGCUAUUUCUUCGGACUAUCUACAAGGUGCUGCAUGGUUGUCGUCAGCUCGUGCCGUGAGGUGUCAGGUUAAGUCCUAUAACGAGCGCAACCCCUGUUGUUAGUUGCCAGCGAGUCAAGUCGGGAACUCUAACAAGACUGCCAGUGCAAACUGUGAGGAAGGUGGGGAUGACGUCAAAUCAUCACGGCCCUUACGUCCUGGGCUACACACGUGCUACAAUGGUAGGGACAGAGAGCAGCCACUGGGCGACCAGGAGCGAAUCUAUAAACCCUAUCACAGUUCGGAUCGG
rnacentral:rRNA from 1 species